rnacentral:lncRNA from 1 species
GCCGGGCGUGGUGGUGCACGUCUUUAAUCCCAGCACUUGGGAGGCAGAGGUAGGCGAAUUUCUUGAGUUUGAGGCCAGCCUGGUCUACAGAGUGAGUUCCAGGACAGCCAGGGCUAUACAGAAAAACCCUGUCUGGAAAAACAAAAAAAAAAAAAAAAAAGUUUCUGUGAAUGAAGAAAGGAAAACUAAGGUUUUGGGUUUUUUUGUUUUGUUUUUGUUUUUGUUUUUUUUGAAACAGGGUUUCUCUGUAUAGCCCUGGAACUCACUCUGUAGACCAGGCUGGCCUUGAACUCAGAA